rnacentral:rRNA from 1 species
GUCGUAACAAGGUCUCCGUUGGUGAACCAGCGGAGGGAUCAUUAUCGAGUUAUUCAACUCCCAAACCCUAUGUGAACUUACCACUUGUUGCUUCGGCGCGCGCUUCGGCGCCGCCGAGGACACUUAAACUCUUUGUUUUUAUAAGCAUUUCUGAGUGGCCGAAAGGCAAAAAUACAAAUGAAUCAAAACUUUCAACAACGGAUCUCUUGGUUCUGGCAUCGAUGAAGAACGCAGCGAAAUGCGAUAAGUAAUGUGAAUUGCAGAAUUCAGUGAAUCAUCGAAUCUUUGAACGCACAUUGCGCCCGCCAGCAUUCUGGCGGGCAUGCCUGUUCGAGCGUCAUUUCAACCCUCGAGCCCGACUCUUUUGAGGACGGCUCGGCGUUGGGGGACGGCAGACUCCCCCCGGCAUCUCGCCGGGGACGCCGCCCCCGAAAUCUAGUGGCGGCCCUCCGGGGCGACCUCUGCGUAGUAACUUGUUCUCGCACCGGAAAGCUCAGAGCGGCCACGCCGUAAAACCCCAACUUUUUUCAGGUUGACCUCGAAUCAGGUAGGACUACCCGCUGAACUUAAGCAUAUCAAUA